rnacentral:rRNA from 1 species
CGGAACGAGGGCCCGAAGCUUGCUUCGGUGACCCGAGUGGCGAACGGGUGAGUAACACGUGACCAACCUGUCUCAAGGUGGGGGACAACCCGGGGAAACCUGGGCUAAUACCGCAUAACGUCUUCUUUUCGCAUGAAGGGAAGACCAAAGGGGGCCUCUGCUUGCAAGCUCUCACCUGGAGAGGGGGUCGCGGAGUAUCAGCUUGUUGGUGAGGUAACGGCUCACCAAGGCUACGACGCUUAGCGGAUUUGAGAGGAUGAUCCGUCACAUUGGGACUGAGAUACGGCCCAGACUCCUACGGGAGGCAGCAGUGGGGAAUAUUGCGCAAUGGGCGAAAGCCUGACGCAGCGACGCCGCGUGUGGGAGGAAGCCUUUCGGGGUGUAAACCACUGUCAGAGGGGAAGAACAACUUGGUUAAAAAUACUAGCCAGGCUUGACGGUACCCUCAGAGGAAGCGCCGGCUAACUCCGUGCCAGCAGCCGCGGUAAUACGGGGGGCGCAAGCGUUGUUCGGAAUUACUGGGCGUAAAGGGCAGGCAGGCGGUCCGUUAAGUCUUCUGUGAAACUCCGGAGCUCAACUCCGGACAUGCAGGGGAAACUGGCAGACUGGAGACUGGUAGAGGCUAGCGGAAUUCCUGGUGUAGCGGUGGAAUGCGUAGAUAUCAGGAAGAACACCUGUGGCGAAGGCGGCU